UGCGAGGAAUUCCUGACAUGGAGACUUUUAAGUCAUUCCUGAUCUUGCUUUAAAGGCNGCGCCAGAAAAGGGUGACAGCCCCGUAAGGGCUGGCAUAUGUAACCGUAAAGGACGCUUUACUCUGAGUAGGGUUGUUUGAAAGUGCAGCCCGAAUUGGGUGGUAAACUCCAUCUAAGGCUAAAUACGUGCAUGAGUCUGAUAGUCGACAAGUACCGUGAGGGAAAGUUGAAAAGUACUCUGAAAAGAGAGUAAAAUAGUACGUGAAACUGCUAACAGGUUAUCGGGUGGCCUGUCAACUGCCGUAAAGCAGCUUUGUUUAAAGCCGCGCUGAAGGCACUGCCAUUCGCUGAUCGGGUGCUCUGUCAUCUCAUACUCUGAUGUCGUGUAGCGGGUUUGAUGAGAUUUGCCAGCCUUCGGGCUAGCAGAUUCACCUUGCUCCCUAACUUCUAUCCGCUUAUGUUUGGCACGCGAACCGGUCUCAAUGGCUGUUAUGUCGAGAGUCCACCCGGCCCGUCUUGAAACACGGACCAAGGAGUCUAACGCUGUUGCAAGUCACAAGGCAAAUCGAAUGCCUAUGGGCGAAAUGAAAGUGCUACCCUAUGGCACUUUGUGUUGUGGUGAUACGUACAGAAAUGUGCGGGGCAACCACGGGCGGCCAAACAAUUGCGUUUGGUCUGACCUUGAGCAGCAGUGUUAGGACCCGAAAGAUGGUGAUCUAUGCCUGGGCAGAGCCAAGCCACGGGAAACCAUGGUGGAAGCUCGUAGCGAUUCUGACGUGCAAAUCGAUCGCGUGACCUGGGUAUAGGGGCGAAAGGCCAAUCGAACCAUCUAGUAGCUGGUUCCCUCCGAAGUUUCCCUCAGGAUAGCUGCCGGUCAUAACACAACAGUUUUUCCGGGUAAAGCUAAUGAUUAGAGGUCUUGGGGAAAUCUCUUCCUCAACCUAUUCUCAAACUUUAAAUCGGUAAGAAGUGAUUGUUUCUUAACUGAACAAUUGCGUUGAAUGUGACCGGUCAGUGGGCCGUUUUUGGUAAGCAGAACCGGCGAUGCGGGAUGAACCGAAAGCCUAGUUAAGGCGCCAAACAAGUGCUCAUGAGACAUCAGAAAAGGUGUUGAUUGGUUUUGACAGCAGGACGGUGGCCAUGGAAGUCGGAAUCCGCUAAGGAGUGUGUAACAACUCACCUGCCGAAUCAAUCAGCCCUGAAAAUGGAUGGCGCUACAGCACUUGGCCUAUACUAGGCUGUGGCAGCCAUAUGAUGUUCAAUGCACCGCGACAUUGACAUCGAUCGUCUGCCACAAGUAGGAGGGCGUGAAGGUUGCGGCGAAGCGAUCCGCGUGAGCGGACGUGGAGCGGCCUUCAGUGCAGAUCUUGGUAGUAGUAGCAAGUACUCAAGUGAGAACCUUGAGGGCCGAAGCGGGGAAGGUUUCCAUGUGAACAGCAGUUGAACAUGGGUUAGUCGGUCCUAAGCGACGAGCGAGGGCAGCUGUUUCGACAGUUUCAGGCGUACGCCUGACGUCGCGAAAGGGAAUGGGGUUAAUAUUCCCCAACCUGUUUUCUUGGUACUAACGGCGGUAACGCUUGUGCGCGCUGGGACGCACAACGGAGACCGGGGAAGAGUUAUCUUUUCUUGUUAAGAAGGGAUUGCCUUGGAAUCGGAUUAUCCGGAGAUAAGGUAGUUACCUUCAAAGAGCACAGCAGUUCUUGUUGUGUCCCGAGCUCUCUGUUGUGCCCUUGAAAACCAGCGAACACUACUACCACGGAAGCAGACCGUACCGAUAACCGCAUCAGGUCCCCGAGGUGAGCAGCCUCUGGUGCUGAACCACUGUAGGUCAGGAUAGUCGGCAAAAUGGAUCCGUACCUUCGGUACAAGGAUUGGCUCUGAGGAUUGGGCACAUCAAGCCUUGGUGUUAGAUGUAGGUAUGUCGUAUUCCGAGAAAGGCUCUCUGCUUGCCUUCAGCACGUGUCAGCUUGCUGGGGCGUUGCUGUUGGUAGCGGUUGCUGUCUUUUUUGGAUGUCGUCAUCCUUCAGCCGAUACCUUGGUAUUUAUUGGUGUGCAUGUAACAAUCAGGCUCAGAACCGGCGCGGACAAAGGGAAUCCGACUGUUUAAUUAAAACAAAGCAUUGCGACGGCUGGCGAAUGGUGUUGACGCAAUGUGAUUUCUGCCCAGUGCUCUGAAUGUCAAAGUGAAGAAAUUCAACCAAGCGCGGGUAAACGGCGGGAGUAACUAUGACUCUCUUAAGGUAGCCAAAUGCCUCGUCAUCUAAUUAGUGACGCGCAUGAAUGGAUUAACGAGAUUCCCACUGUCCCUAUCUACCAUCCAGCGAAACUACAGCCAAGGGAACGGGCUUGGUAAAAUUAGCGGGGAAAGAAGACCCUGUUGAGCUUGACUCUAGUCUGACGUUGUAAAGGGACUCGGAAGGUGUAGGAAAUAGGUGGGAGCCGCAAGGCGACAGUGAAAUACCACUACUUUCGACUUGUCUCUUUACUAAUCGGGUGACAUGGAAAAGGCAUUACGCCUUCUUUUGGUACAAACACAGGCACUUACGUCUGUGCAAUCCAUUCUCGAGACAGCGUCAGGUGGGGAGUUUGACUGGGGCGGUACAUCUGUCAAACAAUAACGCAGGUGUCCUAAGACUGACUCAGUGAGGACGGAAACCUCACGUAGAGCAAAAGGGCAAAAGUCAGUUUGAUCUUGAUUUUCAGUAUGAAGCCAGACUGCGAAAGCAGGUCGGUAUCGAUCCUUUGGACGUUAAGAGUUGUAAGCUAGGGGUCUCAGGAAAGCUACCACAGGGAUAAGGGGCUGGUGGCGAUCAACCGCAGCUAGGGACGUCGGUAUCAGAUCCCUUGAUGUGGGUGCGUCCUAUCAUGGGGAAGCAGAAUUCGCGAAGAGUUCGAUUGUUCACCCAGUAACAGGUAUCGUGAACUGGGUUUACACGGACAUGCGCCAGGUAAAUUUUAAGCUCUUAAUGGGUCUGCGUGCGUCCCAGCACUAAAUAUGCGCACUGCAAAGAGGAAUCGUGCCGCUUCAUCCAUAGAAG
rnacentral:rRNA from 1 species